UGGUCUUGACAUCCCGGGAAUCUCCUGGAAACAGGAGAGUGCUUUCAUUAGGAAGAACCCGGUGAC
rnacentral:rRNA from 1 species